AUGGCGCCCUCCAGCCUGCUGUGGGCCCUGGUGGCCUUCACCUGCUCUGGAACCGUUGUUUCCCAGAAAGUUAUUCAAGACCAGCCAGCUAUAGCCAAAAGAGAGGGGUUGGAAGUCACUCUGAGGUGUCAGUAUCAAACAAGCCAGACUGGCUACGUCCUUUAUUGGUACAAGCAACUUCCCGAUGGAAAGAUGACUUUCCUUGCUUAUCAGUCUUCUUCUUCUCAAAAGAAUGCUGUAGACCGUCGCUAUACUACAAACCUCCAGAAAACAGAAAAAACCAUCUCCCUCAUCAUUUCACCUUUGCAACUGGAAGAUUCAGCCAAGUAUUUCUGUGCUCUCAGAGAUGCACUGUGUUUGAAGUGA